rnacentral:misc_RNA from 1 species
CUUGCCCCAUUAUGAGCAACCCAAAAACGCUUGCGCAUUAUCUAGUGCUCCGUUCUCGGGUGCACGCUUGCCCCAGUUUACGACUGAAACGGUCAAACCUGGAGCUGCUGACGCUGCUUAUCUCACAACGACCACUGUUUAUUUGGAUUUUACUAGCAGUCAAGCCAUGGCGUCAUUUUUCUCCGGCCCCCACAGCUAUAAGAAAGUAAUAGGAUCUCUUCGACGUUUUUCCUCUCUUAUCUGUAUAUCACGUGUCGAUAUAUACCUGGCUGAUUAAGCUCUACUCUUUUCUUGGCACCAAAAAUUGAAGUGAUCUGCUAUGGUGGCGUGACGGAUGCAAAUUGAUUCACUAAUAGCCAUCCUUCUUAGACAAGGCCAUGGACAUUUGUUCUACUUCUUAUAGCAAGAUACGGUUGCCAUCUGCAACUAUUUGGCUCUUUGCUCUUCUUUUUCUCUUACUUCAGAAUGCUGGAGGAACUUUUUCUGUUUCCAAUUACUUGAUUGGCCUUGGAAGCUAUGACAUAACUGGGCCUGCUGCAGACGUUAAUAUGAUGGGAUAUGCAAAUAUUGAACAGGUCACUUCUGGAGUGCACUUCAGAUUGCGAGCUAGAACAUUUAUUGUGGCAGAACCUCAAGGCAACCGUGUAGUAUUUGUAAAUCUAGAUGCUUGUAUGGCCUCGCAGAUUGUUACAAUUAAAGUACUUGAGAGAUUAAAGGCAAGCCUUUCUCUAGGAGUUGGUUCUGGUAUUUGGAUCUGCUAACUGUGAUGGGAAACGUCUCUCCUCUCCUCGUGCCGCCCCCAACACCAAACAACCCCCCCCGCCCCUCCGCGCGCACGGCUUCUCCUGGGUUCCGAGAGCACUGAAUUAGAAUGAGAGACAGUUGAUAAUAUAUUACAAUUGUUUGAAUAAUUUUAUGUCAUUUCUUCUCUUUUUAGAUAUGGGGAGCUUUAUACAGAGCAGAAUGUUGCAAUUAGUGGAAUUCAUACUCAUGCUGGGCCCGGAGGCUAUCUCCAAUAUGUUGUAUAUAUUGUAACAUCACUUGGAUUUGUUCGCCAGUCCUUUGACGUCAUUGUUGAUGGUAUUGAGAAAAGCAUUGUACAAGCUCAUGAAAAUCUUCGGCCAGGGUCAAUUUUUGUAAAUAAAGGAGAGCUAUUAGAUGCUGGUAUAAACCGUAGUCCUAGUGCUUAUCUCAACAAUCCUGCGGCAGAGAGAAGUAAAUAUAAAUAUGAUGUUGAUAAAGAAAUGACCCUCAUAAAGUUUGUAGAUGAUGAAUGGGGCCCCAUUGGUAGCUUUAACUGGUUUGCAACUCAUGGAACUUCUAUGAGUCGUACAAACUCAUUGAUAAGUGGAGACAACAAAGGAGCUGCAGCACGAUUUAUGGAGGACUGGUAUGAACAUAAUGGUAUUUUGGAUCAUUGGGAUAGUCAAUCUGCCAAUAAAUCUGGAACUGAGAGAAUCCCUCGAAGAGUCUCAGCCAUUAUCCCUAACCUUCAUGAGAAAUGUAAGGAGCUGAUGGAAGUUGCUGCCUCCUUUACGUCUUCUCAGGGCCAACCUGCAAUGAGGCUUUUGAGUGUUGCGAAACGUGUUAGGAAUGUUUUGAGGCAAGUGGAUAGACCUCAAUUUGUAUCAGCAUUCUGUCAAUCCAAUUGUGGUGAUGUAACGCCGAAUGUUCUUGGUGCAUUCUGCAUCGACACUGGAUUACCUUGUGAUUUCAAUCACAGUACCUGCAAUGGAAAGAAUGAACUGUGUUAUGGCCGAGGCCCAGGUUAUCCAGAUGAAUUUGAGAGUACACGAAUCAUUGGAGAAAGGCAAUUCAGAAAAGCUGUUGAUUUGUUUAAUGAAGCAACUGAGCAGCUGAAAGGGAAGGUUCAGUACAGACAUGAAUACGUGGAUUUCUCAAACCUUGAGGUCUCACUGGGCAAUAAGGUGGUAAAAACAUGUCCCGCUGCCAUGGGCUUUGCUUUUGGUGCAGGAACCACUGAUGGGCCUGGCGCUUUUGAUUUCAAGCAAGGAGAUGACAAGGGCAAUGCUUUCUGGGAGUUGGUAAGGGAUGUUCUCAAAGCACCAAGCCAGGACCAGAUUAAUUGUCAGCGUCCAAAGCCUAUUCUGCUUGAUACUGGUGAAAUGAAGGAACCAUAUGACUGGGCAGUAAGUUUCUAAUUUAGUUGGCAAUUAAUAUUUGGUGAAGACGCCCAAAUUAAACAAUUACUCAGUAAGUUUGACUUGAAAUAUAUGAGAUGAGUUUGGCUCAAUGCAUAGAAUCUACAGACAAUUUAACUGCAAAGAUUAGUUACAAUGGUUGCAGUGUUCUAAUUGAGGUGAUCAUCUGUUGGCAGAAUGAUAUACCCAGUGAUAUAGGGUGUUGAACAUAAUAUUAUUACUUAAAAAGUAGUUUAAAUUUUCUAUGGUGUAAGAUAUUGACAUUUGGAUUAACACUUUUAGAUGGUGAAAAGCAGCAUUUUGAUUAAUUCUUAAUGAGUUGAGUUUGACGAACAUUGGAUUUACAAAAUAUGGGCUAACAGUUGCUCAAAGUUAUAUCCUUGCAGCCCUCAAUACUUCCAGUUCAAAUCUUGCGGAUAGGGCAGCUUGUCAUUCUCAGUGUCCCUUCAGGUGGAAGUAUCCUUUUCUUUUCUCUUAACCUUUUCCCCCUUAAACGCUCCAUGGUUCCUCAAUUCCAUCUAUCAUUUGUUAAAUGGCUUUUAUAAGUGGAAAUAAAGUCUGGUGCCAUAGACUGGUUUGGCCACAGGUGCUUUUGCAAAGAGCUGGUAAUCGCCAAAGUGCUGUGAAGAGUGUUUCACUUCAUAGCAACAGUUUACGUCAGCAACUUGAAUAUUCUCUUGUUACUCUCAGCAGUUUGUAUUUCUAAUUUAAUUGUUCUUUGCAGAGUUUACUACCAUGGCUGGCAGACGUCUCCGUGAUGCUGUCAAGAUGGUGCUCACUUCUGGGAGAACCAAAGAAUUCAACAGCGAUGUCCAUAUUGUCAUUUCUGGGCUGACAAAUACUUAUUCACAGUAUGUCACCACCUUUGAGGAGUACCAUGUGCAGAGAUAUGAGGGAGCCUCCACCCUUUAUGGUCCACACACACUCAGUGCCUACAUUCAGGAGUUCAAGAAACUAGCUGCAGCUCUCAUUAGUGGUCAACCUGUUAAGCCAGGUCCACAGCCCCCAAACCUCCUUGACAAGCAAAUCUCUUUAUUGCCACCAGUUGUUGUCGAUGCAACUCCUCCAGGAGUGAAUUUUGGAGACCUUGUAAAGGAUGUUCCUUUUAAUUCCAGCAAGAAAAGGGGUGACAUGGUCACUGUCAGCUUCUGGUCCGGUUGCCCAAGGAAUGACCUUUUGACUGAGGGCACAUUUGCACUGGUUGAGAUUCUCCAGGAACAAAAGACAUGGAUUCCAGCGUAUGACGAUGAUGACUACUGCCUGCGGUUUAAGUGGUCAAGGCCUGCGAGACUUAGCCCUUACAGCUAUGCAACUAUAGAAUGGAGAAUCCCACAAUCAGCAGUUUCUGGGGUAUACAGAAUAAGACAUUUUGGCGCUGCAAAGGCACUUUUUGGGUCAAUUCGCCAUUUCACAGGAUCUUCAAGCGCCUUCGUAGUUACAUGAAGAGGUAGCAAUAUAUAUGUAAUUCACAGCUGAUAGCAACAACGAUACUUUGGAUUCGAUCAACUAUGAGAAAAAUACUUCAUAUUUGAGUUUGAAAAUGAAGAGGAAAGCUAGUCGAAGGGAAGUAACAUACGUUUUAAGAUAUCAUGUUAUGUAGCUCAUGGGUUUUUCUUACUUAAACUCAGUAUACUAUGGACUCAAAAUACAAAAUAUGUGAUGAAAUUCACGUUUGUGUCUUGUAUUGGAUGAUGUCAUGUACAUCAAAUGAUAUCCUAUUAAAUCUAAAAUCAU